UUUUUCUUGGGUUUAAGUAAGAGAUAUAGCCUGCCCACUGAUUAUUUGAAGGGCCGCGGUAUUUUGACCGUGCAAAGGUAGCAUAAUCAUUAGUUUUUUAAUUGUAAACUGGAAUGAAUGGCUGGAUGAGAUGAUAACUUUCUUAUAAUUAAUUUAUUGUAAUUUAACUUUUGGAUUAAAAGGUCUAAAUAUUUUUAUUUGACGAGAAGACCCUAUAGAAUUUAAUAGUUGAUAAUUUGUUAAAGUGUUUGUUGGAUUAAUAAUAAGUUUAUAAUUAUUUGGUUGGGGAGACAGUGAAAAUUAGCUAACUUUCACUUAAUUAUUUUUACUGAUUUGUAUGUAUUGGAUCCAGUAUUGUUGAUUGUAAGACUAAAUUACCUUAGGGAUAACAGCGUAAUCUUCUUGGAGAGUUCUAAUCGAUAAGAGGGAUUGCGA
rnacentral:rRNA from 1 species